UGAAAAGAGUCUCAAUUGGGUCCAAAUUUUUGAAAAAUUGAGUCAAUUAAGCCCUCUUCGUUAAGUUUUUCCAAAUGGCAUUAACAGAGGUUGAAGUGGUGCACACAUAAUAUGUUGAUGUAUAAGUGUUUUAUUGCGUGGAAACAGGUGUUAAAUAAUAAGUGUUUGACGUGGCACCAAAUAUAAUUGUUUGUUUUAGGAAUUUGUACAAUUAGGACAUUUUUAAUGAAAUAGGGUUAGAGAAAGGGAAUUAGGGAUUUGGUCAGUGUGAGAACAUGAAUUGGAAUCUUAGAGAAGACGACGAAAAUCAACUCGAGCUAGACGAACCGAAUCGAAAAUGGAUGCGAGUUAAGAUUAGUUUCCUUUCAUGGUUGGUUUUCUGUUUUGGGAUGUGUAAAGCUAUAAUGGGUUUUUGCAGUUACGACGUAUUGCGUUUUCGUUUUAGGGAUGCGUAAUGGGAAAUGGGUUUUUGCAUUCUUCUCUCACUAUUUAUGCAUUGUGGUAUGACUAUUGAUGCGUAGAAUUGUAGAUAUUGUGGUCCCGGUAUUGCAUUUUGAAAUGUGUAGAGUUGUAGACAUUGUGGUCUCGAUUUUGCAUUUUUCAAUUGUUUAGAAGCAGUGGUCCCCUAUCUCUAUGAGUGUUUCGUUAGUGGGGAUGUUAGUUUGUUCCAUGUCUCCUGUUUGUGUGAGUCGUAGGGAGUAUAAUAUUAAUAAUAUUUCCCCCCAAUAAUGUACCAGUGUUAAAAACUUGUGUUACAUAUAUAAUAUAACAUCGAUGAGGAAUGUAUCAAAGUUGUAGUCCACCAUAUUGGACAUUUUGUUAGUGAUGAUAAUGAGAAUUUAAAAUUUGAUGGAGAAAUGGUAGAAUGGUCUUGUGAUCCAGACCUAUGGAGCUAUUUUGGCAUAUUAGCUUCAGUGAAAGACUUAGGUCAUAUAGACAUGAAAUAACUUUGAUACAGUUUAGGAGGUCAGAUAGUGGUGCCAGAUAGGUUAGAAUUAUUGACUGAUGACCAGGGUGUUAUGCAUAUGAUGAACAUUGCAAGGUUAAAUGAUGAAGUUCAUCUCUACGUGGUUCAUAAUACCAUGGAACCACGGAUAAUAGAAAUAAUUGAUUGUGUUGAUGCUCAUGUUGAUGAUGAAGGUGAUGUUGCAAGAGAAGUGGAGGAGGGUGAGGGUGAUGCUGAUGGUAAACUUGGAACAAAAAUGGAGAAUGGUGAGGGUGAUGUUGAUGGUCAAGUUGGAACAGAAACUAAGGAGGGUGAGGGUGAUGUUGAUGCUCAAGUUGGAAUACAAAUGGAGGAAGGCGAGGGUGAUGCCCAAGUUGGAUAACAAAUGAAGGAGGGUGACAGUGAUGUUGCUAAAGAGAUGCAACAUGUAGUUGGUGAUGGUGCUGGUAAUAGUAAUGAUGUAGAUGAUUUUGAGAUAGAGGAUGUAGAAGAGGAUGGGGAUGUAGAUGAGGUUGAGGAUGAGGAUGUACAUGAGGAUGAAGAUGUAGGUGAGGAUGUACAUGGGGAUGUUCAAUGUGAGUCUGUCAAUGAAGAAAGUUUGGUUGAUGUCACCAUUCAAUGUGACAUUGGGACUUCUAAAGGAAAAGUGACAGAAGAACCUUGCACUCUAGUAGGUGAGUGUUCAAGGACAAUUGAUAUUGAUUCCAUUCAUGAUGUUUGUGGAAUGCCUGACAUUGAGUGGGUGUUAGAUGAGUUGGUUAGUGCUACAGAUAGUGAGGAGGAUGAGGAUGAUAUAAGAACUUAUGGUAGGUUUUUCACUUUUACAAUGCCUAAAAGUUUGGACUAAUAUAAAUGGGAAGUAGGAACAUUUUUCAAUGCGAAGAAGGAGUUCACAGAAGCCAUUAGGACUUAUGCACUGAGUAAUGGGAGAAAUUUAAAAUUUAUUAAGAAUGACAAGAAGAUGGUGUUUGUAAAGUGUUUGGGGGCAAAUGGGAAAUGCAAAUAGUAUGCUUAUUGCACGCAUAUGUGUGGUGAGAACUCAUGGCAACUAAGAAAAGUCAUUGAUGAUCACAACUGUACUAGAGAUUUCAAUGUAAAGUUUAUGACUUCGAAAUGGAUGAGUCAAAUGAUGGAAAAAACUGUGAGAGAAAACCCUAAUAUGAAGGUGAUGGACAUUAGGGACAAAGUAAGUAGGAAAUGAAAUGUUGGUAUAUAUGGCUUUUAGGGCAAGAGCCAUUGCAAAAAAUAAUAUUAAGGGGUCAUUCAAGGAAUAAUUUAGAAGAAUUUAUGAUUAUGGUCAUGAGCUUUUGAGAACAAAACCAAGUUCAACAAAUAAAAGUUGAAAACAGUAACAGUGAAUUAAUCUUCAAUAGAUUCUAUGCAUGCUUGAAGGCAUGCAAAGAUAGCUUCAUUUGUUGUAAACCCAUUAUUAGUUGGAUGGAUGCUUCUUGAAAGGAAAAUAGGGAGGGAAGUUGCUAAUAGUAGUUGGAAGAGAUGAAAAUGAACAAAUUUUGCAAAUAACAUAUGUUGUUGUUGAGGCAUAAAACAAAGACUCAUGGACUUAGUUCUUGGAGCAUCUCAUUGAGGACCUUUGUAGGGAGGUUGUGUGUGCAUCAUGCACAUUUAUUUCAGACCAACAAAAGGUCAAUCUUAACAAAUUUUAAGUACAAUAUAUUUCACAUAUAACUCAACUGACUUGACUAUUUUAAAAUGUUAGGAUCUUUUGUCAGCUAUUCAAUAUCUUCUACCUAGGGUAGAAUAAAGAUUUAGUGUUGGACAUUUGUAUUCAAACUUUAGAAAGAAAUUUCCUAGAAAAAUCCUUAAAUGUCUCAUGUGGAGGGUAGCAAUAGUCACAUAUCCACAACAAUGGAAGUCUGAAAUGAGGAACAUUAAAGAGGUGAAUUUAGAGGCAUUUAAAUACUCGAUCGUCAUUCCACCUAGGUUUUGGUCAAGAUCUAGAUUCACCCCUACAUCACAUUGUGACACUCUUAUGAACAACAUGUGUGAGGGUUUCAAUAGUGUGCUAGUUCAUACUAGGUCUAAGCCCAUUAUUACCAUGUUAGAAGACAUUAAGGUUUACAUUAUGAAGAGAUGAGCUACCAACAGGACAAAGAUGGCAUUAUAUCAAGGUUUUGUCUGCUCUAAAGUUCUCAAUAGAUUUCAAAAGGAAUCAUGGAUAACCAGAUAUUGGUUACCAAGGUGGUCAUCAGAUAAAUUAUUUAAAGUCAGACACAUUUCUCAAUUUGGGGAGCAAUCUGUUGUCAAUGUUGACAAAAUGGACUGCACUUGUAGAAAAUGGACAAUUACUGGAAUUCCUUGCACUCACUUCAUUACUGUAAUGAAAUUCUUGAAUUUAAAUGCAGAAGACUACAUUGGGCAUUGGUUUAGGAAGUCUAUGUAUGAGGAGACCUACAACACAAUCAUUUCUCCUAUCAAUGGUCAACAUGUCUAGGAAAUUACAUCAUAUCCAGAUGUAUUACCCCCAAAGAAGAGGACAAUGCCAGGAAGGCCCAAAAAGAAACAAAGACUAGAGGCUUAGGAGAUGAAAAAGAAUGACAGUGAAUUAAGAAAGGGUGGGACCAGAAAAAGACUUGGUCUCUGCAAGCGACUUGGACACAACAAAAAGUCUUUUCCACAAAGACCUCCAACAGUUAUGCUUCCUACUAACCAAUCUACUCAACAAACGGAAGUCAUAAUAUCUCCACCAACAUAUGUGCUUCCUACUCAGCAAUCUAAUGUGCUUCCUUCUGAGGAAUCAAUUGUGCUUCCUACUCAACAAUCAAUUGUGCUUCCUACUCAACAAUCAAUUAUGCUUCCUACUCAACAAUCAACUAUGCUUCCUACUGACAAAUGAAUUGAUGUUUAAUUAGUAGAAAAUGUUAGGACUUUCAUUUUGAAGACAACCUUUCAUAUAUGAUGUAAUGUUUAAUAUUCAAAGAUCAUUUUUCUUUUGUUGUAUUUUGA